rnacentral:lncRNA from 1 species
GCUUCUGUGACCUCACAGGUUAAAUCCCUGCCCUAGUAACAGCAGGGUGUUUAGCCUGAGGAUAACUCAGAGUCCAGCAAGAAGGGCUGGGAUUCACACUGAGCACGUGUGUCUGCCCAGGCUUGGGCUGUUUUCUGGGAUGGACUACCUGAAAUUCAUCACGGAAGAAGCUGGAGAGAGGUGUGGUCAGGCCUCUGUUACUUCAUACAAUAGCCUGUUGCCAUGGUUAAAGGCUAUGGUGUUGGUGUGAGGGAGCUCAGAGAUGGGCUGGGAUUUGGACGGAACUGCAGGACUUUUCAUAUUUAUAUUUGUGGGUGUUAAUGUAUUUGUGAACGAAUCUGUGUGCAUUGUGUGUGUGUGUGUGUGUGUGUGUGUGUGUGUGUGUACAGGAUUAUGUCAGUUGUUUCUUUAGUGACAUUCUCAGAAGUCAUCAACUACCAUGAUGAGGCCAAGGAAGGAAACUUCCUGAAAUGCUGCUUUCUCGGGAAUCCUAGUACAAGCUGUGUUUAAUAGUACUGAAGAGACAGGUUGGAGGCCAAAAUUUCAAUUUGAUACCAGUUCAAAAGGCACCUGUGUGCCUGGAUACCCUUUGAGCUUUCCUAAACAGAGUGAAGCUUGGCCUCUGUGACCUCACAGAAGGGGUCACUGUCGUGGUUAUGGGUGUGCCCUAGUGCUGAGGGCAGCAGAGUCCAUGAUAGGAGAAGGUGGCAGGGAUCCUUUCUAGGAAUAUUGAUCAUAAAUCAAGGCUAACAACAAAUUAGCUUUGGAAAAAUAUGAACUCAAAAGUAUACUCUAUUUAAAUCCUAAAAAAGAAUCAGAUACCCUGAUCCUGAAGAUUUCUGGACCUAGAUAAGUAGGAAUGAAAAGAAACAGGGCUGGUCAAACAAACCAGAAAAAAAGUAUGUGCCUUGGGCAAACUGAACUUGAUGGAGGUCAGGUGCAAAAGAAGUAUAGAUGUGGGCCUAGGCCUAUCCCUGACCCUUGAAGAGGCCUGGGCCUAAUGAAGAAGUUAUGUGGGCCUGGGCCUAUUCCCAAACCUUGAAGAGGCCCGGGCCUAAUGAAGAAGCGAUAUGGGCCUGGGCCUAUCCUUGACCCUUGAAGAGGCCCGGGCCAAAAGCAAGAAGUGAUGUGGGCCUGGGCCUAUCCCCAACCCUUGAAGAGGCCUGGGCCUAAUGAAGAAGUGAUGUGGGCCUGGUCCUAUCCCUAACCCUUGAAGAGGCCUGGGCCUAAUAAAGAAGUGAUGUGGGCCUGGGCCUAUCUCUGAACCUUGAAGAGGCCCGGGCCUAAUGAAGAAGCAAUAUGGGCCUG